CCUACGGGAGGCAGCAGUGGGGAAUAUUGGGCAAUGGGCGCAAGCCUGACCCAGCAACGCCGCGUGAAGGAAGAAGGCUUUCGGGUUGUAAACUUCUUUUCUCAGGGACGAAGCAAGUGACGGUACCGGAGGAAUAAGCCACGGCUAACUACGUGCCAGCAGCCGCGGUAAUACGUAGGGGGCAAGCGUUAUCCGGAUUUACUGGGUGUAAAGGGCGUGUAGGCGGGGACGCAAGUCAGAUGUGAAAACCACGGGCUCAACCUGUGGCCUGCAUUUGAAACGGUGUUUCUUGAGUACUGGGGAGGCCGCCGGAAUUCCUAGUGUCGCGGUGAAAUGCGUAGAUAUUAGGCGGACCACCAGUGGCGAAGGCGGUCUGCUGGACAGCAACUGACGCUGAGGCGCGACCGCGUGGGGAGCAAACAGGAUUAGAUACCCCGGUAGUC
rnacentral:rRNA from 1 species